AUUGAACGCUGGCGGCAGGCUUAACACAUGCAAGUCGAACGAGUGGCGGACGGGUGAGUAAUGUCUUGGAAUCUGCCUUAUGGAGGGGGAUAACUACUGGAAACUGUAGCUAAUACCGCGUACCAUCGGAUGUGCCCAUGUGGGAUUAGCUAGUUGGUGGGGUAAAGGCUCACCAAGACGACGAUCCCUAGCUGGUCUGAGAGGAUGACCAGCCACACUGGGACUGAGACACGGCCCAGACUCCUACGGGAGGCAGCAGUGGGGAAUAUUGCACAAUGGGCGCAAGCCUGACGCAGCCAUGCCGCGUGAAUGAAGAAGGCCUUCGGGUUGUAAAGUACUUUCGGUAGGGAGGCGUUAACUACAGAAGAAGCACCGGCUAACUCCGUGCCAGCAGCCGCGGUAAUAC
rnacentral:rRNA from 1 species